rnacentral:tRNA from 1 species
GGUGAAAUGGCCGAAAAAGGUAAUAAACUGUAAAUUUAUUUAUGAAAUUGAUUUCUUUCACCA